UUCAGAAUCACUGAGAAAAAUGUAUGAAAUAGUUAAUGUCCUUGCUCUGUGUCAGUGGUGGAGGCUGUCUGCAGUAGGAGCAUGGAGACCAACAAUGGAUGCUCUUAAACUGAUUUAAGCACGCUUCCAUGGUCAGAAGCCUUAUGGUUGCCACAGGGUAUUAGGAGCAUGGAGACCAAUAAUGGAUGUCCUUGUUCUGAUUUGAGGAUGCCUCCAAGGUCACAUACUCUGUUUGCACCACGCUUAGGAAGGAGCGUGAAGACCAAGGGGAAUGAUAAACACAGAUCAUGGAGGACUGUUUUAUCUGUUUGUGAUCUGCCGUCCUCUGUGAGCCUCAGGAUGGAUGUUUGCCAGCCGAUUCCAUGGUUACAAGCUCUAUAGCUGCAUCUAUGUGUUAGGAGCAUGAAGACCAAUAAUGGAUGCACUGAGCUGAUUAUGAAUUUAGCCCUGAUGAAGACUUGUGUUGCUGUCAUGAUAUGAAAGAUUCCAGUAAUGAACGCACUUGAGUUGAUUCAAGCACGCUUCCAUGGUCAUGAGCUCUGUGGUUGCAUCUGUGUGUUAGGAGCAUGCAGACCAAUAGUGAUAAUCUCGAGGUGAUUUAUGCAUUCUUCCAUGGCCACCAGCCUUAUGAUUGCAUCUGUGCGUCACAGCUUAGAGAUCAAUAAUGGAUGCAACAAGCUCUUUGAAUCAUUCUGUUGGGAUCAAGAUUGUUGUGUUCCCUCUGUUUGGAAAGAGACCAAGAAUGGAUACGCUCAGGUGAUUUAAGCAGUCUUCCAUGGCCACGAGCUCUGUGGUUGCCUCUGUAUAUUAAGAGCACAGAGAUUAAAAAUGGGUGCACUUGAGCCGAUUGAAACAUUCCUCCUUGCAUCUUUCUUCUGUGAUUGCAUCUAUUUGUUAGUAGCAUAGAGACCAAUAAUAGAUGGCUUGUGCUGAUGGAAGGAUUCCUCCCUGGUGACAUGCUGUGUCUGCCUCUUGAUUGGGAGCACGCAGACCUACAAUGAUGCACUUUUUAUGAUUUGAGAAUUCCUUCAUGGUCACGUGCUCUGUUUUUAUCAUGGUUGGGAGCCUGCAGAGCAAUAAGGGACAUGCCUUUGCUGAUUUGAGGAUUCCUCUGAGGUUGGGAGCUAAGUUUGCAUCAUGCUUAGAAAGGAGUGUGCAGACCUGUAAUGAUUGCACUUUGCUGAUUGAAGGAUUCCUUCAAGUCCAUGUGCUCCACUUGCACCAUUUUUAGGAUGGAGCCUGGAGACCUAUAAUGAACAACUUGUGCUGUGUUAAGGAUUCCU
rnacentral:lncRNA from 10 species